rnacentral:rRNA from 1 species
AUUGAACGCUGGCGGCAGGCUUAACACAUGCAAGUCGAGCGAGCGGCGGACGGGUGAGUAAUGUCUGGGAAACUGCCUGAUGGAGGGGGAUAACUCCUGGAAACGGUAGCUAAUACCGCAUACCAUCAGAUGUGCACAGAUGGGAUUAGCUAGUCGGUGGGGUAAUGGCUCACCUAGGCGACGAUCCCUAGCUGGUCUGAGAGGAUGACCAACCACACUGGAACUGAGACACGGUCCAGACUCCUACGGGAGGCAGCAGUUGGGAAUAUUGCACAAUGGGUGCAAGCCUGAUGCAGCCAAGCCGCGUGUGUGUAGAAUGCCUUCUUGUUGUAAAGCACUUUCACCGAGUAGGCGUUACACUCAGGAGAAGCACCGGCUAACUCCGUGCCAGCAGCCGCGGUAAUAC